GUUAGCCGGUGCUUCUUCUGCAGGUACCGUCACUUGCGCUUCGUCCCUGCUGAAAGAGGUUUACAACCCAAGGCCGUCGUCCCUCACGCGGCGUCGCUGCAUCAGGCUUUCGCCCAUUGUGCAAUAUUCCCCA
rnacentral:rRNA from 1 species